GAUGAACGCUGGCGGCGUGCUUAACACAUGCAAGUCGAACGGAAAGGCCCAAGCUUGCUUGGGUACUCGAGUGGCGAACGGGUGAGUAACACGUGGGUGAUCUGCCCUGCACUUCGGGAUAAGCCUGGGAAACUGGGUCUAAUACCGGAUAGGACCACAUUUUGGAUGGUGUGGUGGAAAGUUUUUCGGUGUGGGAUGAGCUCGCGGCCUAUCAGCUUGUUGGUGGGGUAAUGGCCUACCAAGGCGUCGACGGGUAGCCGGCCUGAGAGGGUGUACGGCCACAUUGGGACUUAGAUACGGCCCAGACUCCUAAGGGAGGGAGCAGUGGGGAAUAUUGCACAAUGGGCGCAAGCCUGGUGCAGAGACGCCGCGUGGGGGAUGACGGCCUUCGGGGUGUAAACUCCUUUCGCUAGGGACGAAGCGUUAUGUGACGGUACCUGGAGAAGAAGCACCGGCUAACUACGUG
rnacentral:rRNA from 1 species